rnacentral:rRNA from 1 species
GGGGAAUCUUGCGCAAUGCGCGAAAGCGUGACGCAGCAACGCCGCGUGGGGGAAGACGGCCUUCGGGUUGUAAACCCCUUUCAGGAGGGACGAAGGUCAGGCCGUUAAUAGCGGUCCUGGCUGACGGUACCUCCAGAAGAAGCCCCGGCUAACUACGUGCCAGCAGCCGCGGUAAUACGUAGGGGGCAAGCGUUGUCCGGAAUUAUUGGGCGUAAAGAGCGCGUAGGCGGUCCGAUAAGUCGGCUGUGAAAGUCCAGGGCUCAACCCUGGAAAGCCGGCCGAUACUGUCGGACUAGAGUCCGGAAGAGGCAAGUGGAAUUCCCGGUGUAGCGGUGAAAUGCGCAGAUAUCGGGAGGAACACCAAUGGCGAAGGCAGCUUGCUGGGACGGUACUGACGCUGAGGCGCGAAAGCGUGGGGAGCAAAC